UACGUAGGGACCAAGCGUUGUUCGGAUUUACUGGGCGUAAAGGGCGCGUAGGCGGCGUGGUAAGUCACUUGUGAAAUCUCCGAGCUUAACUCGGAACUGCCAAGUGAUACUGCUGUGCUAGAGUGCAGAAGGGGCAACCGGAAUUCUUGGUGUAGCGGUGAAAUGCGUAGAUAUCAAGAGGAACACCUGAGGUGAAGACGGGUUGCUGGGCUGACACUGACGCUGAGGCGCGAAAGCUAGGGGAGCGAACGGG
rnacentral:rRNA from 1 species